rnacentral:tRNA from 1 species
GGGGUUAUAGCUUAAAUGGGAAAGCAGCGGGUUUGCAACUCGCAGUUCGGAGUUCGAUUCUCCGUUUCUCCACCA